GAUGAACGCUGGCGGCGUGCCUAAUACAUGCAAGUCGAGCGAACGGACGAGAAGCUUGCUUCUCUGAUGUUAGCGGCGGACGGGUGAGUAACACGUGGAUAACCUACCUAUAAGACUGGGAUAACUCCGGGAAACCGGAGCUAAUACCGGAUGAUAUUUUGAACCGCAUGGUUCAAAAGUGAAAGACGGUCUUGCUGUCACUUAUAGAUGGAUCCGCGCUGCAUUAGCUAGUUGGUAAGGUAACGGCUUACCAAGGCAACGAUGCAUAGCCGACCUGAGAGGGUGAUCGGCCACACUGGAACUGAGACACGGUCCAGACUCCUACGGGAGGCAGCAGUAGGGAAUCUUCCGCAAUGGGCGAAAGCCUGACGGAGCAACGCCGCGUGAGUGAUGAAGGUCUUCGGAUCGUAAAACUCUGUUAUUAGGGAAGAACAUAUGUGUAAGUAACUGUGCACAUCUUGACGGUACCUAAUCAGAAAGCCACGGAUAACUACGUG
rnacentral:rRNA from 1 species